rnacentral:rRNA from 2 species
CUGGUGUCAGCCGCCGCGGUAAUACCAGCACCCCGAGUGGUCGGGACGAUUAUUGGGCCUAAAGCAUCCGUAGCCGGUCCUGCAAGUCUUCCGUUAAAUCCAGCUGCUCAACAGAUGGACUGCGGAGGAUACUACAGGGCUAGGAGGCGGGAGAGGCAAGCGGUACUUUAUGGGUAGGGGUAAAAUCCGUUGAUCCAUAGAAGACCACCAGUGGCGAAGGCGGCUUGCCAGAACGCGCUCGACGGUGAGGGAUGAAAGCUGGGGGAGCAAACCGGAUUAGAUACCCGGGUAGUCCCAGCUGUAAACGAUGCAGACUCGGUGAUGGGUUGGCUUCGUGCCAACCCAGUGCCGCAGGGAAGCCGUUAAGUCUGCCGCCUGGGGAGUACGGUCGCAAGACUGAAACUUAAAG